CUGGGAUAACUUCGGGAAACCGGAGCUAAUACCGGAUAAUAUUUUGAACCGCAUGGUUCAAAAGUAAAAGACGGUCUUGCUGUCACUUAUAGAUGGAUCCGCGCUGCAUUAGCUAGUUGGUAAGGUAACGGCUUACCAAGGCAACGAUGCAUAGCCGACCUGAGAGGGUGAUCGGCCACACUGGAACUGAGACACGGUCCAGACUCCUACGGGAGGCAGCAGUAGGGAAUCUUCCGCAAUGGGCGAAAGCCUGACGGAGCAACGCCGCGUGAGUGAUGAAGGUCUUCGGAUCGUAAAACUCUGUUAUUAGGGAAGAACAUAUGUGUAAGUAACUGUGCACAUCUUGACGGUACCUAAUCAGAAAGCCACGGCUAACUACGUGCCAGCAGCCGCGGUAAUACGUAGGUGGCAAGCGUUAUCCGGAAUUAUUGGGCGUAAAGCGCGCGUAGGCGGUUUUUUAAGUCUGAUGUGAAAGCCCACGGCUCAACCGUGGAGGGUCAUUGGAAACUGGAAAACUUGAGUGCAGAAGAGGAAAGUGGAAUUCCAUGUGUAGCGGUGAAAUGCGCAGAGAUAUGGAGGAACACCAGUGGCGAAGGCGACUUUCUGGUCUGUAACUGACGCUGAUGUGCGAAAGCGUGGGGAUCAAACAGGAUUAGAUACCCUGGUAGUCCACGCCGUAAACGAUGAGU
rnacentral:rRNA from 1 species